ensembl:lncRNA
UGAUCAGACACUGAUGCAGAUUUUCACGGGUAUAUUCUUUUCUUUGGAAUCGGGAUCAUUCCACUACUGCUGUGCAACUUUUAGACCCAUGUUGUGAAUGCUUUCUGUUUCUCUCUUGCAAUAAACAGGAACGGCUGGGGGAUUGCCUGAGGCUCCAUCUGCUUAGAUUUGCAGUUCUCAGCCCCCCUUGAACAGAAAGACCACCUGAGGAGCUUUAAAGCUACAAGUACCUGGGAAAGGGAUCUCACAGUGCAGUCCAGAAGCAGCAAUAUUCAGCCUUACCUGAUGACUGAUUAGAAACUGAAAUUCUAGGUACAUCCCACAUUUACUGAAUUAGGAACUUUUUGGAUAGUAUCCAAAUAGAUAGUUUUGGAUUUUUUUUUUUUUUUUGAGUAUGCUGGAGGUGAUUUUGGUACAUGUUAAAGUUUGAAAACCAUGCCCUGGAUAGGAAUUUGAGUGUUGGAACAGUUCCCAGCUGGUCUCUCUGUGUGUGUAUGCUCAGUUGCUAAGUCGUGGCUGACUCUUCUGAGACCCUACGGACUGUAGCCCGCCAGGCUCCUCUGCCCAUGGGAUUUCCCAGUAUUGUAUGGAAGUGACUCUUUUAUUAUUUAUCAUCCUCACCCAAGAGAAAACCAACCUCCCAGAAGUGAUAUGACUGAUUGUUGGACCACAAUAAAUGUAGGUAGUGUCACAAAGGAUUUGUCCAUCCCUCAAGUGUCUUUAUUUUAUGCCUCAUAAAUAUGAUGGAAGCUGGCAGGUGGAAAUUGCCAACAGGAAAAUGGAAGUUCUAUGACCUCAGACAGCCACUGCUACAUCCCUUGCCAUGCAGGUCCCUUCUUAGAGACUCACAGAGGACUGUAUGUGAGGACUCAA